rnacentral:rRNA from 1 species
UGGGGAAUAUUGGGCAAUGGGCGAAAGCCUGACCCAGCGACGCCGCGUGAGGGAAGAAGGUCUUCGGAUUGUAAACCUUAGUUAUCGGGGAAGAAGAAAGUGACGGUACCCGAAGAGAAAGCCACGGCUAACUACGUGCCAGCAGCCGCGGUAAUACGUAGGUGGCGAGCGUUAUCCGGAAUUACUGGGUGUAAAGGGUGUGUAGGCGGGAUAGCAAGUCAGAUGUGAAAAUUAUGGGCUUAACUCAUAACCUGCAUUUGAAACUGUAUCUCUUGAGUGCUGGAGAGGUAGAUGGAAUUCCUUGUGUAGCGGUGAAAUGCGUAGAUAUAAGGAAGAACACCAGUGGCGAAGGCGAUCUACUGGACAGUAACUGACGCUGAGGCGCGAAAGCGUGGGGAGCAAACAGGAUUAGAUACCCUGGUAGU